GCCUGGGUGGCUCAGUGGUUGAGCAUCUGCCUUCGGUUCAGGGCAUGAUCUCAGGGUCCUGGGAUCGAGUCCCACAUCAGGCU
rnacentral:tRNA from 1 species